rnacentral:rRNA from 1 species
UGAGGAAUAUUGCGCAAUGGGCGAAAGCCUGACGCAGCGACGCCGCGUGGAGGAUGAAGGCCUUCGGGUCGUAAACUCCUGUCGAGGGGGACGAAAUGGCGCCUUGUGAAUAGCAAGGAGUCUUGACUGUACCCCUGGAGGAAGCCCCGGCUAACUCCGUG